rnacentral:rRNA from 1 species
AUUGAACGCUGGCGGCGUGCUUAACACAUGCAAGUCGAUCGGUAACAGGUGUAGCAAUACAUGCUGACGAGAGGCGGACGGGUGAGUAAUGCUUGGGAAUCUGCCUAUUAGUGGGGGACAACCCGGGGAAACUCGGGCUAAUACCGCAUACGCUCUACGGAGGAAAGCCGGGGACCGCAAGGCCUGGCGCUAAUAGAUGAGCCCAAGUCGGAUUAGCUAGUUGGUAGGGAACGGCCUACCAAGGCGACAAUCCGUAGCUGGUCUGAGAGGACGACCAGCCACACCGGAACUGAGACACGGUCCGGACUCCUACGGGAGGCAGCAGUGGGGAA